UAGAAAACCAAAACCUAUGAAUCACAUCCAAAACUAAGUGAAAGAUUUGAACCCGGUAGGGAGUAUUGCUACUGCAAGCAUUUGCUGAAAGGACAGAGAAUCUGAAAACUCGAAAGCUCUGGGUGAAGAGUUGGACUGGAGCGAGGAGAGUGGUCGCCGGCACAAUGAAGUAUUUUGAGUUUGAUGUUUUCUGACCCUCUGAAGCUAAACUAUAGCCCAUUUCAUUUUCAAACAGCCUCCCGGGAGCCCUGGGAUGACCUCAGUCAGGAUGUUCUCAAACAUAAUCUAGCCUGCGCAGUAACCUGACAAGAAUUGGUUUAUUUAAGGAACGCGGUGGGUCUUUUAGCCUCUAAAGGAACCCAUAGGUCAUUUGUAAAGGAACCAGCAUGACCUGUUGGAACUUCUCUUGGCACUGAUGCUCAGCCGUUUCAGGUUAGAACUUUGUUGCUUUGAGCUGGAAGCUCCACUGAAACUUGUGUAAUGGAGACCACAUAAAAUGUAGUUUCCCUUAAGAUUUUAGGAUGAGCAGACAAGGACUUUAAAACAGCUCUAAUUAAUUCAAGAAAGUAGAGGGAAGUGUGGAGAAUUUCACCAGAGAACUGGGAUCUUUUAAAAAAUAGUCAAAUGGGGAUUCUAAAAAUGAAACAAAAAUGCAGCAUGAGAAAUUAAGAACUCAGUAGAUGGAUUUAACAGCAGAAUGGAUGCAGCAGAAGACAAGAUGAGUAAAUGCAACUAUGGGUCAAUUGAAAAUAUUCCUAGAGUGAAAUAAACAAACAGCAAAAUAUCAUUUAAUGGAAUACCUUGCAUCAAGACCAAAAAUACAAACUACUGAUAUACGCAAUAAAUGGAAUGACUCAAGAAGAAUUGCGUAAACAAAUGAAGCAAAACACACAAAAAGUAUAUACUCUGUGAUUCCAUUUCUAUGAAAGUCAAGAACAGGUAUAACUUAUCUAUGAAUGACAGGCGUCAAAAUGGCGGCUACUUCUGAGGAGUGGUAUUGGACAGGUGUGAGGCAACAUUCUGGGGCGAUCGAAAUGUUCUGUACCUUGGUCACCUGAUCUGCGUGGUGAUUACACAGGUGUUCCAUUUGUAAAAUUUCAUUGAGCUGUACACUUAAGGUUUGUGUACUUUACUGUGUAUAAGAAAUAGCUCAAUUUAAAAAAUACCAGAGAAGAUAUUUCUUCCCCAUGUGUUUCCUCUUGUUUACUCUUUCUCAUCUUUUCACGCUGGAAGGAAGGCCCCUUCGUGUCCUCAGCUAUUUUUACGGACGCUGGAAAGUCUGUCAAGGAGGAAGGGGCCUGAAGGCCUUCAGGAAGCUGAAGACUGCAUACCAUGAGUCACUGCGCUUGGAGGUGAGGAAAGUCAAGUCUCCUUCGGCGAGUAUCUACCCUGGGGUCCGGAGGAAGCCAGUCGAGACCUCGGCUUCCUGUGAGGAGGCAUGUGGAACAGAAGAUAAAAAAAAAAGAGGUUCUGGGGACAGCUCAUGUCAGGAGGGUGAGUGAGAUGGCUUUGAGCCCUUUAAAGCCAGUUCUACUGACCUUCAGGUACAAUUGUUGUUCUCAACCUGGGGUGGUGGUGGCAUCUUGGUCCCCUGGGGAGAUUUGGCAAUAUCUAGAGACGUUUUUGUUUGUCAACUUGGGGAUGGGGGAUGGUGCUACUGGCAUGGAACGAGUAGAGGCCAAGGAUGCUGCUGGUCAUCCUACAAUGCAUGGGACAGCCCCCACAGCAAAGAAUGAUCCGAUCCCAACUGCCAAUAGUGCCAAGACUGAGAAGCCCUGGUGUAUACUCUUCUUAAGGUAUUUAUUAAUCUAUCAGAGUUUUUUUACGACUGCAGGUAGAAAUAGUAUUUUCAUUUCUAAAAGCCCUAUUUCAAAGUGGGUGAAUAGUGCACGUUUUCAAGGUUUGUGAACAACUUAAAAAAAAAGAGCUUAUUCUCAAUAGGCAAAAAAUCACCUACAAACAGCACCAUAAAUUUGCUUCUGAUCCUUCAUGCAUAGGUUUUUAUCUAGUUGUGAUCCACAUAUUAUUUUCUGCUGUAAACCCAAGGAAUUGAUGAAAUCUAAGGGUUAGUGUGUGUGUGUGCAUGUGCUUGCAUACACAUUUGUCUUGCUUGCUGGGGGGGGGCAGCAAAUGUGUCUUUAAAAGCAAAUGCACAUCUUUUGUGGCUCAGUUUUACUCCAUUUCAGAUCAAGUUCAAUGUCCCAGGGCAGUAGAAGAGUGAUUGCAGCUCUGACACAAGGCCCCAACCAGGAGCUCGUUUAAAUUGAAGCACACUCAUCAAAAUAAUUCUUAAUGCUCUUAUUUCAUUAAAAAAUCCCUUCCCCUGCCCAAAAGCAGUGUAUGUGCAUUUUAGAUAAUUAUAAAAUAUAGAUAAGCAAAAAUGUGAAAAAAAAUUUCCACCACCCCAAAAUUGCCAUUAACGCCAAAGUCCUGUCCUUCCCUUUAUAUAUCCAAAGUGAGAUCAUCUCCUACAUGUUUUGUGCCCUGCUCUUUUGUGGUUAAUGAUCUCUACCUUCACAUGUCAGUACCUUUCCAUCUCCUCUAAUAUUCAGUCUCUAUUCAGAUUUCCCCAUGGGGCCCCCGGUACAGAAAAGCUGUAUAAACCAAGAUCCAAUCGCAGUGCAUACUUUGUGUCUAGUAGUAAGGUCCUAUAAGGUUCUUCUAAUCGAGCCCAGCCCCUUUUUCUCACCACAUGGACUUGCUGAAGACACUAGGCCAGUUAGAUACAAAACGUCCCAAAUUCGGGAUGGUGCUUCUUGAGGGUGUCGCUUAUCUUGUUCCUUUAUCCCUUGUACUUCCCGUACCUGGAAAUUAGAUCUAAACAUUUGACGUCUUCUGGUUAAGCAUUUCUGGUUAGUAUGCCUCAUGGGUGAUGCUGGGUAUUCUGUAUGGCAUCUGUCAUAAGAUAAGUGAUAUUUGGUUGACCUGCCUAGUGAUGGGCUGACAUUGACCACUCAGUUAAGGUGACAACUGUCUGAUGGCUCCAUGUACAUUCCACGUCGUCCCCUGCUACUAGGAAGUAAUCUGUGGAUUGCUAUUUUGGCAAUAUGAAUUUCCAAUCCCCAUAAAGCAUUUACCUAAAGUUUUUUUUGGAUUUUCAUUUAUAAAUAGCUUUACUGAAAUAUAAUUGUCAUACAAUAAAUUUCACAUAUUUAAAAUGUAUAGUUUGAUAUGUUUUGACAUCCAUCUAUCUCUAUGAGACUAUUACCACCAUCAUGAUAACAAAUGUAUUAUCAUCCCUAAAAGUUUUCUCAUGUCCCUUUGUAAAUUCUCCCUCCUCCCUCCCUACAUUCUAGCUGCUCCACUCCAUCCCCAAGCAA